rnacentral:tRNA from 1 species
GGGGUUGUGGCUCAGCAGUAGAGCACUUGCCUAGCAUGUGCAAGGCCCUGGGUUCAAUCCCCAGCACCACA